UACGUAGGGUGCGAGCGUUGUCCGGAAUUAUUGGGCGUAAAGGGCUCGUAGGCGGUUUGUCGCGUCGGGAGUGAAAACCAGGUGCUUAACACCUGGCUUGCUUUCGAUACGGGCAGACUAGAGGUAUGCAGGGGAGAACGGAAUUCCUGGUGUAGCGGUGAAAUGCGCAGAUAUCAGGAGGAACACCGGUGGCGAAGGCGGUUCUCCGGGCAUUACCUGACGCUGAGGAGCGAAAGCAUGGGGAGCGAACAGG
rnacentral:rRNA from 1 species